CUCUUCUCAUUCUGAUAUCUGCGAUUCUUUCCUCCACCGACGAAAUUCUCUUCCAUCGAUGAGUCUUCUCCUCCAUCGAUGACCUUGCGCGAGUUUUCUCCCUCCAUUGCCACAACCCGACUCUGAUGAUUUCACUCUCACGCUCUCACUCUCGCAUGCGCAAGUUUUCUCUCAACCUGGUUCUUACUCGCACUCUCGUCUCUGUUCUUGCUCUCGCUCUUGCGCUCUGAAGGAUUUUUCUUUCUUUCUUCGCUCUAGGUCUUCCACAUUCUCCACGGGUUUAUCAGGAGCUGGAACCAUGAGAUUGUUAGGAGCUGGAACCCUGGGUGAUAUAAGUGAUCAUGAAAGUCUGGUUAAGACAUGAAGCAAGUUGAUGUUUUUAUCUGCAAAACAGUGGUGGCAACACUCAAGUUAUUGCUUACAAUGAGGGGUUGUACCGUAUCUUUGGGGAUACCAUUGAUAUUUGCUGUGAGGAAUUGCUUGGACCGCUUUGCAAGGGUGUUGACGCUUUCCAAUGAUCCUAGUCCUGGAUAUAACAUUGAGCAGAUGUGCAUCCUAUGGCUUCAGCUCCACCAUCUAGUACACAACGAGAGUCCAGUCGAUUAUGAACUUUACAAGCUAUAGAUGAACAAGGAAACCAAAAGAAGAUCCAAUUGUCAAUAACAGAUGUCUUUGAUAAGCCUAAAGGCCAGUUCAUAGUUGUAUUGUUUGAUAGGCAAUUGCAAGCUUGUGGAGAAGCUGCAGCACUCAUAUAGAAUAUGGAAGCUCUAGAAUCCACAUCUAUUAAGGUGUUGGUUGAGUAAGAGCUAAGCCAAACACUUGAUUCCUCUUAGGUUUCAAAAUAUGACGCCCUUGCCAAAGUUUUGGGGCCAGAUCAUUCUGCAUGUGUGCGAGGACUAGGUGUAGGAGCUCUUCAUAGUUUUGAGUUUUAAACUUGUAUAGAACAUAGUACCUAUGUAUCUGUAGUUCAUACUUAGAAAAAACUAUGAACAAGGUGUUCUUAACAUUUUGUGGUAACAUUUUGUAUUAUAAAGAAUUUAAUUGUGACUUC